rnacentral:rRNA from 1 species
GUGGCGAACGGGUGAGUAACACGUGAGUAACCUGCCCUUGACUCUGGGAUAAGCGUUGGAAACGACGUCUAAUACCGGAUACGAGCUGGGACCGCAUGGUCACCAGCUGGAAAGAACUUCGGUCAAGGAUGGACUCGCGGCCUAUCAGCUAGUUGGUGAGGUAACGGCUCACCAAGGCGACGACGGGUAGCCGGCCUGAGAGGGUGACCGGCCACACUGGGACUGAGACACGGCCCAGACUCCUACGGGAGGCAGCAGUGGGGAAUAUUGCACAAUGGGCGCAAGCCUGAUGCAGCAACGCCGCGUGAGGGACGACGGCCUUCGGGUUGUAAACCUCUUUUAGCAGGGAAGAAGCGAAAGUGACGGUACCUGCAGAAAAAGCACCGGCUAACUACGUGCCGGCAGCCGCGGUAAUACGUAGGGUGCAAGCGUUGUCCGGAAUUAUUGGGCGUAAAGAGCUCGUAGGCGGUCUGUCGCGUCUGCUGUGAAAACCCGAGGCUCAACCUCGGGCCUGCAGUGGGUACGGGCAGACUAGAGUGCGGUAGGGGAGAUUGGAAUUCCUGGUGUAGCGGUGGAAUGCGCAGAUAUCAGGAGGAACACCGAUGGCGAAGGCAGAUCUCUGGGCCGUAACUGACGCUGAGGAGCGAAAGCGUGGGGAGCGAACAGGAUUAGAUACCCUGGUAGUCCAC